CAGCCGCCGCGGUAAUACAGAGGGUGCGAGCGUUAAUCGGAUUUACUGGGCGUAAAGCGUGCGUAGGCGGCUUCUUAAGUCGGAUGUGAAAUCCCUGAGCUUAACUUAGGAAUUGCAUUCGAUACUGGGAAGCUAGAGUAUGGGAGAGGAUGGUAGAAUUCCAGGUGUAGCGGUGAAACGCGUAGAGAUCUGGAGGAAUACCGAUGGCGAAGGCAGCCAUCUGGCCUAAUACUGACGCUGAGGUACGAAAGCAUGGGGAGCAAACAGGAUUAGAUACCCCUGUAGUCCCUGUCUCUUAUAC
rnacentral:rRNA from 1 species